AGUAACUUUAUUUCUUAGAGCAGUUUUAGGUUCAGAGCAAAACUGAGAGGAAGGUACAGAGAUUUCUCAUAUGUUCCAUGCCUCCCACACAUGCGUAGCCUCCCCUAUUAUUACUAUUUUCCACCAGAGUGGUACAUUUGUUACAACUGAUGAACCUACGUUGACACAUUCUAAUCACUCAAAGUUCAUAGUUUACUUCAGGCUUCACUCUUGAUGCUGUACAUUCUGUGAAUUUGGACAAAUGUGUAAUGAUAUGUAUCUAUUACUGUAAUAUUAUUGACAGAACAGUUUCACUGCCCUAAAAAUUCUCUAUGAUAUGCCUGUUCAUCUCUCACUUUCUCCCUAGCAACUCCUGGCAACCAUUGAUCUUUACUCUGUUGUCACAAUUUUACUUUUUUCAGAAGAGUCAUAUAGUUGGAAUAAUACAUUGGGUAUCUUUUUGAAUAGUUAAAAAAAGCUCCAUUGUAAUUGAAUGUAGUCAUUUAAGAUGUAUGUACUUUGUCCUUUUGUUUUUCCUUUGCUUCUUUAUCAUUGUAAAGAAUGAUAUAUGCUGAUGACAUAUUCCUUACAUACUUAGAAAACAUGAUUUGUAUAGGUAUUUGUCACAUAAUGGAAAGGGUUGAGGAAAAGGACACCAUGCAGUACCACACAGCACACACUGGGGCCUCUUGCUCUAUGAGGUGGGUCCCGAUAGACUCUCUAGCAGUGAAAGGGGACAAGUUCCAGGGGUUGUACUUUAUAAAACUGGAAUCACAAAGUUUUUCUUACUUACCUUUGGUUAGAAAUAAGAGCAGACAGUGAAUGCUAUAGGGUAAAUACAUAGGUUCCUCACUGAUCCUCUUCCUUUGAGGGGGGAUGAGUUUGACAACAAGCUAUUAAAAUGACAUGACUCACCUACAACUAGAUUCUGUCAUGAGGGAUGGCAAGAGAGUUUUGCUUUAUGUAAGGUGAAAAAGAAUUUUUUUCCCUUACUAGGGAGAAGGGCAAACAUUGGAACAUUCUGGUAGUAAAAGGGCAUUGAUAUGGUUUUCUUUCUAUACAUUUUCAUGUCAUAUAGUACUGCCUGGCAGCCUGCCACACCUCCCCAGUGUUUCUUAAGCUUCUCUCUGAAUGUGAGGUGUGCCUCGUAGUGGAUAAGCUCUUAAAGGAGUGGUAUUUCCAGUGGUUUUUCUGUGGGAGGUAAAAUGGCAGGUGAAUUUGGGCCUUGUUAUACGUAGGGCAGAGCAAAUAGCUACAACUAUGUAAACCACCCAGCACCUUCCCCAAAGAGUAGUAGCCAGAGUAACACAUUGAUCUCUUUUGAUCUCUUUUCCACUAGCAGCUGGAAAGUCUUCGCAAGGAUUCCUGUUUCUGAUCGGAUUCCUAUAUUUUGCUGGCUUCUGGUGAUAGGGUGUUUUAUCCUAAACUGAACAGUUUGAACUGAAGAGCUAGAGAGGCUGUGUUGUGUUAUAACAAAAUAAGUACAGUAGUUCCCCCUUAACUGUAGGAGAUACAUUCCAACGCCCCCAGUGGAUGCAUGGAACUACGAGUAGUACUGAAUCACAAACUGUUUUUUCCUACACAUAUGUAUCUAGGAUAAACUUUAAUUUAUAAAUUAAAAUAAAUCUGAUGUUAUCUGCAGAUAGAGUGUGAAAAUUGAAUUGUGUCAUCAGCAGAAAUGAUUGCUUGUUUGUUGGUGGGGAAAAACUCUCCACACAUUUGGUCACAGAAGCCUUCUCUGUUGAUGAUUGUUGCUGUGGCGUGACAGCAGACAAAACCAUGUCAAGUAUGUCUUUCUGCACAUAUAGUGGAUAAGGGGUACUACUGUAUACUCUGUUUUAACUGCCUCUCAUGUUUUGGUCCAGAUAUCAUGCUCUUUGACACUGUUGACUCAUCACACCUGUUCCGCUAACAAUAACAUUUUUACUCAGUCUCAUAGGGUUUGACUAGGAUGACUUGUAUACUGCAGUUUACUUGUAGAUACCAAAUUUUAAUAAAUUUAUUCUUCUUUGCUUUUAAUAAAUACAAAGGGAAGUAACAGUUCUUAAUGCAUUAAUUACCUACCAAUAGGUAUAAUUAAUGUUAAUUCUAAUAAGGUCCCAGGUAUGCUCCCAAAGGAAUUCUUUGUAACAAAGCAUCAGUCAUGUGCUUUACAAAAACAAACCAAACCAAAACAACACAACAACAACAGGAUCUAAAGCAUACACACAAGUGUGCACAAUUUUUUUAAUGAAGGUAGAGUCUUGCUAUGUUUCCCAAGCUGGUCUCAAACUUCUGGGUUCCUCAAGUGAUCCUCCUGCCUCAGCCUCCCAAGUAGUUUUGAUUACAGGCAUGCAUCACUAUGCAUUUUUUUGCUUUUAAUAUUCUGUAUAUUUAUGAUUGAUUUAAAAUGCAUUUUGCCUUUUUCUUUAAUAGAUGUUGGAAGUUCUGAUGAAUCUGCAGUCAGAUAGGAUUUUAUAGAUUUAAAAAUUAUGUUAACUAAGGAAAUAUAGAUGGAAGAAACUAGUAUCUGUUGAGUGUCAUAGUCUGGGCUGGACAUCCUGUUAUGGUCUAUGCAUUUAUCAUCUUAUAAAGCCAUCACAACAUCUGUGUUUCUAUAAGCUACUGUUUAUUAAAUAAACAACUAUGGAUUAGAGCAGUUGAUUAAUUGGCUCAUGAUCCCAUAGUUAACAAAGUCGCUGGCCCACUUUGAUCAUCAACCUGCCUGCCUUCCAAAUCCCUUCUCUUGCUCCUCAGCAUAGAUUGAUAGACAUCUGUGUAGCCCUUGGAUCAAGGUAUACGUCUGAAUCAGAUUAAUCAGAUUCAUUAAUUUAAUGUCUAAAUUAAUGAGAGUUUAAAUACCUUCAACUCUCAUUUAAGGUUAUCAUUAGAAUGUGGUUAGUCCAAGAGUUUGUCCUGAUAAAUUUGACAAUUUCAGUGGUAACCAGUAUCUUAUUUUUACCAUCAAAGGCUUUAGGGCAGAUCUUACUUAGCUAUGGCCACAGGACUGUAAGUUUUACAAAAUCAAAUUUAGGCAAGCCUUAGAAAUUAUUUGAUUUCCUGGUUUUGUUUUCCAUUUAGGCUAGUAUUUUUGCUUACUUCCAUAAUACAUUUUUUAGUCUUGUUUCUUUUUCCAUGAAUUUUCCAUAAUCUUGUAUUGAUUUUUGAAAACUUUCUUCUCUGCUUUUUUUGGUGUUUCUUUUAUUCUAUUAUUUUUUUCAAAUUCUGCUAUGUAUUCCCAGUUUUCCUAUAGACAGAAUCAAAAGCACAUAGAAUUACAGAAUUUUAAGGAAUCUUAGAAUGAAUUAAAAUACCUUGUAGUAUUUUCACGUGUGUUGAAUAUUCUGGUGAAGUGAUUCUUUAGAUAGAGAACUUGAGAAUCAAAAAGAUUAGGUUUUUUUUUAGACAUAGGAAUUGGCAGAAAUGAGAUUUGUACUCAUUUUAAAGCCCAGUACUCUUCCUUCUUUUUAUAUCCUAUUGGCGUGUGUUUAAUAAUACAAACGGGAGUGAGUCUCUUGCACCCAGUGGAUAGAAGGAAGGUCGAAUUAGCUAGUGAACCCAAUGAAAGUGGGUAAGAAUGGAAUGAGCAGAGGAAGGCCAAGUUUGAAGAGAAACACUUAUCAAUAAAUUAUAAAGAUAACGGACACACAAGAUGUUGGGAAUUAUCUACAAAGGCACAUUAAAAUAGAUUCAAAGGAGCUCUAAAAAGUUUGCUGCUUUUUUUUUAUUUAUCAAGGACUGACAAACUUGGAAGAUUUUUACUGAAAGAUGCUAAAACAUUUUGAGACACUGGGAGGAGUGUCUACAGCAGAUAGAAAUGUGGCAUCAUCUACUUCCAUCCUGACUUACAGAGGGGUGCCGUAGAGCCCCUGGAAUACUAAGGGACUGGAGACUGCUGAACUACACAGAUCUGUGGCCCAGGACAGGUGGUCUCCUCACCUCUGCCUCUUUUCCCAAUUCACUGAUGUCCUUCCUUUGUUCAUGGAGGCUGGAUCAGGGGCAUGAUUGUCUGGCAAAUCAUUCGUGGAGUUCAGUUGGGACUUUGGUAGUGUGUCUGUGCUGGGGGCAGGUGAUGGAGAUUCCAGUUAGCUUGUUUUUCAGGAGCAGGGAUAUAGAGGGCUCCUACACUUGGUCAUUUGAGGCCAUCCUUUCAGGAAUCUGUGCUUUCAUAGACUGAAUAUUUGAAGAUUGGAGACUUCUGUGGAGCCUUGCAGAAGUGGAAUCUGGAAGCAGGAGCCCAUAGGAAGACAGAUAUUUAGAUAGUACUUAGGGAAAUAGAGGCACAACUAGCAGGACUCUGUUUUUCCAGCAGGCUCUCUCCUUGGGUGUCUAAGCACCUAUGAAAAUCUUUAAGGGCUUGCUAGUUUAUGUGGAUCUGAAUGAGGCAGGACCUAUAGAGUAGAAAUAAUGGAAUUUUAUUAUUGUUAAUGUUUUAGUCUUUCUGGGCAAAGUAUUCUCAGUAAGAACAUACACCUUCAUUAUUUGAUUUUUGUACAUUUAGCUUUCAUACAUUUCAGAUAUUGCAGGGGAUUCCCUGUACUGAUUUAGGGCAAAGGAAAGCAAUAUGACCUUCUUAAGUGGUUUCCUUGCUGAGGACUCAAGACUGCCAUUUUGAAGUGAUGCAGAUUAGUCUUUUAACCAGAGGUAGAUCAUGGACAAGAGACAGUGGAUCUGUCUACCUUGUUUUAGGUCAUCGGUUUUCUUCCAGAUUAGAUAACAAAAUGUAUGUCACCCAUUAACUGAAUUUUAAGUUCAGCUUCAGGAGAGAUAAUUUGUGAGGGUAAAUUAUUGUCAGGCUCUGCCAACAUAUUGACUGUCACUAUUUGUUAUAGAACUCAAGGUCAGUUUUCAUUGAAUAUUUUAUAGAUUUAGACAGGUGGAGGCAGAAAUAGGUAACUAAAAUCUUUUACUACAGAGGACAUAUUUUAAUUAUAUCAAGAAUCAUUAUUUAAUAUGUAGAUCACUGACCUUUCCCCAGGUUAUGGUUUCCUUUUUUGAGGGGGAAGCUGGAUACAAACUGGCAUUUAAAAAAAUUGUGAAGAAAUCAACUUGCUCAUUUUCAUUGUACAUUUUUGCUCUCAAGCAUUUUCCGUGAUCUGUGUGUAGAUUCAUUGCCUGCAUCGGAUGAUGAAGACUUGAGUGUUGCUACUAAGCAGUGUGUCCCCGAGAAAGUGUCAGAGCCUUUACCUGGACUUUCCCGUGAAAAAGGAAACAGAAUAGUCAAUGCAAAAGGAGAAGAGCCUCCUGCAAAACAUCCUUCCUUGAAGCCUUUCAGCCUAGCACUGAAAUGGAAGAUCCUGCUGUGAAAGGAGCAGUACAAAGAAAGAAUGUUCAGACAUUGAGAGCAGAAGAAGACUUACUAGUGGCUUCAGAGGAAGAACGAGAAAGGCUUGAAAGAAGUGAAAAGACGCAACCACAGGUAUAUAAAAAUUUAAGUUUCUUGUCUAAUAUUGGUGGUUUUUUUUUUGCUUUAAUAACAAAGUGUAGUCCAAAUGACAUGACCUUUUAGACUAUACCUUUAGAAUCCAGUAGAUCAUAAUUUUAAAUUUAAUUUUUAAAACAUUUAACCACUUAUGAAACUUAAGAUAUUCCUACCAUCUGUGGUAACUCAUAGCUGUCUUCACCUUUGGAAUUGAGGCAAGAAAUUUCCAGUAUUAUCUCGCUCUUUUAUUUUUAUAACCUUACUCAUAAUACAGAAGGUAACAUGAAAUAUUGAGUCAUAUUACUAAGGAAUAGAAAUUAUGAACAAUUUAACAAUGAUGGCCACGGAGUUAAACUAAUGUUAAAGGAGUCAUCAUUGCUAGUGGUUCAAAUUUUGCAGUUUCAUAUUGCUGGUCACCAGUGCCGAGUUUAAAGAUU